GACGAACGCUGGCGGCGUGCUUAACACAUGCAAGUCGAACGGAAAGGCCCUGCUUUUGUGGGGUGCUCGAGUGGCGAACGGGUGAGUAACACGAGAGUAACCUGCCCUUGACUUUGGGAUAACUUCAGGAAACUGGGGCUAAUACCGGAUAGGAGCUCCUGCUGCAUGGUGGGGGUUGGAAAGUUUCGGCGGUUGGGGAUGGACUCGCGGCUUAUCAGCUUGUUGGUGUGGUAGUGGCUUACCAAGGCUUUGACGGGUAGCCGGCCUGAGAGGGUGACCGGCCACAUUGGGACUGAGAUACGGCCCAGACUCCUACGGGAGGCAGCAGUGGGGAAUAUUGCACAAUGGGCGGAAGCCUGAUGCAGCAACGCCGCGUGCGGGAUGACGGCCUUCGGGUUGUAAACCGCUUUCGCCUGUGACGAAGCGUGAGUGACGGUAAUGGGUAAAGAAGCACCGGCUAACUACGUG
rnacentral:rRNA from 1 species